AAACUGGACGGAACGGAAGAAAAAGAAAAGUGUCAGCAGAAAAAAAUGUGACGAGAAGUAUUAGGGUUUACUCACACCAAGCGCCGUUUCAGACCCUUUCCAAACAGCUUCAAUACGAAGAGUGUGGUUUACUCAUUCUCGGAACUAGGGUUUGUGCUUGUCAUUUCUUCAAUAAAGAAGACAUUCGCUUUUACGACGCCGUUGUCGAUGGGUCAGUUGUCUCAAACGAAGAACAGAAGACAGGGAUCUUAGGGGACCGAAAAAUGUGUGUAUGAUAUUGAUUACAAAUAUGGAUAAAGAGUUAUGUCCAUCUACAGUUACAGAGUUCUUACAGAGACAUACUUCUCUAUCAGUCCGAGUCUUUAUUUUUCCAAAUUUGUCAAUGGAGGUAUACAAUAGGGGAGCCAUUAUGGUGCAUUCUGAAAAAGAGUUGCAAGAGCUGUGUGGCUUUUUGAAUAAUCCCAACUGCAUCAUAACAUCGUUAACUGGCAGAAUAUAUUGUAUGAAAAACAGAGAAGAAGGAUGAACAAUUUGAAGGUUGUACAUUCAGGAAGUAAAGAAUUCAAGAUAGCUAGUAUUAUGAGAGAUUUGUUUUGGGCAUUUUCUGAGCACCAAGAACGCUUACAGAAAAGGCUUGCACAUGAGGAGAGAAGGAUAUUUGUAGCUAAUGAACAACUAGCUUAAAUGUUUGUCCUUCACUUUUUACUGUUUUUUGUGCUCAUAUGUAAAUAAAGUACUGCAAGCCUAUGACCUACUUUUUCUUUUCUUCCAAAAUUGUUGGUAUUAAAGCGUUAAGAAAAUGUUGAUCGGUCCCGAAAUUAGUUUUUAAAGAUGA